GGGAGGUAGGGAGUCAGAGGGGGAAACAAGGGGAACGGGGGGAAAAGAAAAAGAAAACAAAAAGGCGGCAGAGGCGGAGGCGAACUUUCGGGCAGAGUUCCCAGGAGCCUCGCAAGCUGACCGGACGGAGUCCCCUUCCGCGGGGUGGGCGACACUGCCCUGAGGAAGCCGGAGAAUGAGAAAGCGGGCGCGGGGGGCGGGAGAGACUUUUGCCCGCGGACUUCCAAACCCUCUCGCUUCUCUUCUCAUCUCUUCCUUCCUUCCUCCCCGCCCGCCUUCAGCUCUCGCUCCCGGGUAUAACUAGUCUUCGGCGCUCGGCAGGUCUGGGACGAGAGCGAUCGAGCGAGGGAGAGAAGGAAGCCCUGGUCGCCGGGUGACGUGGAAGGCGAGGGGCAGCCGUUUCUCGCCCGGAGGAGCGGGGGAGGAAAAAGCCACCAGCCGGUGACAGGAUCGCUCGCAACUUUGUGCCUGUGUGCGCGCUGGAAAACGCGUCGAGCCCCUGGAUGUGGUACCUGAGAAACAACUCAGACAUUGGCUGCAGAGGCUCUACAUCUACUGAUUUGGGGAAACAGAAGAUUCCUACCACUCAAGAUGAACCUCUACCUGCCUAGGAAGCACUGGAGAUUUGGAGAGAAUGCACUUAUUUAGCAAGAACAGCCAAAUAUAAUUGUUUCUGUUGCUUUGACCUAUUCAUUUUUCGUUUUUCCUUCCCAAUUUCUUCCCACAAUUGAGAUCCAGUCAUCAAGCACCAAAUUAUUUAAUGCCCAAUAGUAUUUAUCAUCAUUACUAGACUUUUUUUUUUAAUGUGCUGUGAGAGUUCUGAAAAUAUUUUUGUUUCUUGGGCUUUUUGCUCCCACCAUUUUUUGGGACUUUCUCUUGAAUCUCACACACGGAGCAUCUGGAUGGUUUCAUAAAUUAGGAGCAGUGCCCUUGUUCAUCAUGGGGCGAGAACAGGAACUGAUCCAGGCUGUGAAAAAUGAGGAUGUACCUGGUGUGCAGAAAUUGGUAGCAAAGAUCAAGGUGUCUAAAAGUAAACUCUUGGGAUCAACUAAACGGCUGAAUGUGAACUACCAGGAUGUGGAUGGGUAUG